UCCUCGUGUGUUUGUUUGUAAUAUCACAGCAUACAUUGUGGUGGCCUGUGGUCAAAGUAGUUUUCCUAGAAGAGCCAUGCAGCCCCUGUGGUACCUCCAUGUUCACGCUGGUAUUGUUUUUGUUAAAAUGAAAGUGAUGGAUCCUUUUGUCACCCCUGGUGUCAUUUUUUUUUGAUUAAGCAAUAGCAGGCUACAUAUGUGACGCUAAUUUAGCACAGUAGAGAACAGAUGACAAUAGAUGACAUCGAUUGACCCUCAGAGGCCUAGCCUAAGCCCCUACCUGAGGAGUUCAGCCAUGGUCCUCCACAUCGAAAGGAGCCAGUUGAGGUGGCUCGGGCAUCUAAUAAGGAUGCCUCUGGCUGGAAACGCCUUGGUGUUCCCCCGGACAAGCUGGAGGAGGUGGCCAGGGAGAGGGAGAUCUGGGCUUCUCCGCUUAGGCUGCUGCCCCUGCGACCCAACCCUGGAUAAGCGGAAGAAGAUGGACGGAUGGACGGAUGGAUGGAGGUCUGGCCUAAGUCAUCAUAGUCCUUGGUGGGUGUGGAGGCCUUCUUCUGGCUCUGACGAGGGAUGGCUUUAUCUGAGUUUUUCAGACAGCCAGACAGUCAGCAAAUCAGUUACUCUAUCACUACAGACACAAUCGAGCAGCCCAGCAUGCCACUGACUCAUCAAGCCAUGCAAUCAGCCAUUCAGCAAGCAGGAUGAUGUGACUUCACUGAAAAAUAGAGCCAUUUUGAACCACGGCCAUGUCUGGGACAAUUCUGGGAUGCUUCUGUAACGCCAUCCAGCAUGUUUAGCUCCAUUGGCUGUGCUGGAGCCAGAAUGUGGCAAGGGUGUAGUUUUUGUAUUCUUGGGCUAACAGUAUGUAUACAUGUGACAGAAAAUAAGGAAGAGGAUCAAAAACUCACUUCAGGUUUGUUAAUGCUUGUCUUUGUUUUCAAUGAAGUUUAAGCGCAUGGUUGAAAAGCAGUAAUACUUGGGAUUUGAAAGGAAAGCCAAAAAUCCUGAAGCCAUAUAAGGAACAAAUCUUCAAAAUAAAGCAGGAAACAAAAGAGGGAGCAGGAAUAACAAACCUACACUAGCAACAGUGAACCACAGACAAAAGAACAAAGAAGAAAAAGAAGAAAACAGGAAGCAAGAAGCAACAUUCAAAAACACACAGGAAGCGAUGAACUAAGAGUUAUAAAGAAAAACCACAGGCAUAGACAAAGCCCAUGGCAACUGGAUGAGUUUGUGGAAGAUCAGCAUAUGUGUUUGGGAUAAAAAUGAGCUACUAAAUGAGGGUUGAAACUAGGGUUUCAUAGGUGAAUUAAAUUGAAUACACCUAUACUUGAUUUGAAAGGGUCAAAUUGCUGCAGGAAAAUUCCAAACAAUGCAGCAAGUGCACCAUAAGAUGCUCAGCGUUUCUAGACCCCCGCUUAAAGCACAAUCCUCCAGUGUGAAAGUAAAGCAAACUCCCACAUGUCGAGGAGUGACUCAAGUAAGCCUCUGCUAACAUGUUCCAUGUAGAAAUAGUCAUUCAGUCUACCAGGUCUUUGUUUAGCUGUGCUAAGUACACUUUUUUUCUGCCUAACUAGUCAUCGUGUUAGCUAAGAAUUCAUCUGAUCAGGCCAGAAGUUCACACAGACCCUAACGGUGUUGUAACUCUCCGCCUCUGUGUUUCCCUGCAUGGGCUACCUGACAGCAGGUUUCUGGAAACCUGUCAGGACACAGCAGGCACACACUCAUAACUGAGCCACAGCUGUUUGUCUUGGACAGAAGUAGAGGAGAAGGGAGAUGGAGAUGUUUUCCACCUCCCCUAAGCCUGUGAUUCAGCUAGAGAGCCAAAGUGGAAGGAUGAGGUAUUGUCUCGUGGUCAGAGAAUGAACUCAUUCCCCCCCACAUGAAAACAGUCACUGAGAGGAAGACCGUCGACGGGAGUGCAGGGCCGGGGGUGGGGGGCAGUAGGUCGGGAUGAUGUGGCACAUGGGGCCAGACGUGGUUUUUUUCAGACAGACUUAAAAAACCACUAACAGUGAUGGAAACGAUGUGUUGCUACUUGGUCUCAAAACCACAAAAAUUCUGCCUACAAAGCCUUGGCACAAACGAGACAUCAGUGACUCCGGCUUAGAAAUAUGUCAGGCGGGCGGGGCUGCAAACAGCUGUGCAACUUGUUUUUUUUUCUGUUUGGGAGAGAGUCAGACACACUUUAAGGAGCAAAAACUUUCAAAGAGCGCAGUGAUGACUCCUAGCUUUGUUGAACCACAGGGCUUAUUCUUAGAACACUUUUGGCCUUAAUCUUCAGUGUAUCAAAAGAAAGAAAAUGACGCUUAAUAAUGGACCUUUGGUGCUGUUAAAAGAGCAGGAAGAGGAGAAACCAGUGAAAUGAAUCAGCAAUACACAACAGAUGGAAAUUCAGCUAUUUAUUGCAACAUUUUUGGACUGCAAUGUGAAAUCAGCGGCUGUCUAGGAGUGUUUCCUGUGCUGCUCUUGCUUUCUGUUUGCAUUCAUUCACAAUGUGCAGGACAACAAAGUGUGUUUGGUGACCUUCCGUGAGAUGAAGAAAGCCCAGACAGCAAGUCUUGAGUUGUUUUGAUCCUCUUUCAGUUUAGAGGGAAAAACAGGCCACUGGUCGCACUGCAUGGUUUAGAUUUCUGUUUUUGUUGUCUGCACGGCAUGGAUGUUUCUCACAACGCUGCAGUGGCAAAACCAUUUACUAAAUUGCAUUCUGGCAGGACUUAAACCAUUAAGAUUUUAUGUAUAAAGUGAUAUAAAGUGAGACAAAAACCAAACAAAAACAAAACAAAUCUUUCUCAGAAUUGGGUUUCUGCUUUUUGCUGCAACUUUAAACAUGCAACUUUCUUCUUCAGAAAGUCAUCACCUAGAAAGGCCUAUCACAGGCUUAGUUAUCAGGGUUAGGGUUAGCUGUGACAGUUAACUGGUCAAAUUUCCCAUUUUUUCAUGUGCUUCAGACGACACAUUUUGUCCCAUUAAGGUAGAGGAAAGCUUUUUCAACCACUGUGGUUCUCUAUAUUAUGGAAAGAAAGCCCACCCUCUGAGUUUUAAGUCAUUAUUGGUAAUGACCCUAACUAUAGCCGGAACCCUAACCCUAUCUGUAAGUUUGGGACAAAAGUAAAACUGAUUUUUUUCUGGAAAAAUUUAAAUAGUUGUUAAUUGGGUCAAAUGAUUACUUUUAAAGCAUAUUCUGAUAACACAGGGUUGGGAUUAAGGUCAUCAGUGUUUGUGUGGACCUCACGUGAUUCCCAUGUGAAGGCUGCUUCCCUAUUUUGUAGCUGGCUGACAACACUCGCUGUUCACAGGAAGCUAAAAUGCUGCUGUGAAUGGAUACGUGUAUGUAUGUAGUAAUUGUACACUAGCGAAUAAAAUCUUUGUUUUUA